rnacentral:tRNA from 1 species
GAGGGCAUAGCUUAGUUGUAGAGUGCAUGCUUAGCAUGUACACAGUCCUGGGUUCAAUCCCCAGUACCUUCA